CAGAGUGUGAGCUCUCGUAUACAGGCCCAUGCAAAUCCGAAAAAGUUCGACAUUUUUCACUCUGAUACAGCUCUCCAUCACAUCAGGGGAAAACUUUAUGUGCUUCAGCUGUGAAGACCUGACCUGGCUCCUCUGAAUACUGGGCUACAGUCUAAGCAGAGGUGUCUAAGCAAAGGUGUCCAAACUGCUGUUUCGAGCCACUUCAUCUUCUGACAUGUUCAUAUUUUCGUCACCUCCUCUUCACUUGAGCAGUCAAAGUCAUAUUGGGAUCAUUCACUUCCAAGCCCCCCCCCCCUUGUAAAGAUACAUGCUUUAAACUUUGAGUAGAAAAGGUUCACCUGAUGAACAGAUGGGUUGACUACAUUACUCUCUUCCCCAUCCACCUUCUACUGACAGGGUAAGUAGACCAGGGAAGGGUGAAGGGAAAUGAACUAUGUCAAUGAAUCAGCCUGA
rnacentral:lncRNA from 1 species